AUAUCGGUAAACCGUCCGAAAGGGCGGGACACAAAGCCAGAUGGGUCUGUGGCGCGUUGCGCUAUGACAGCCGGUUGU
rnacentral:ncRNA from 2 species